rnacentral:rRNA from 1 species
UGCCUUGGCACCAGGAGCCGAAGAAGGACGUAGGAGUCUGCGAUAAGCCUCGAGGAGCUGACAACCGAGCUGUGAUUCGAGGAUUUCCGAAUGGGGAAACCCGGCUGGGGGCAAGCCCAGUCACCCAUACCUGAACACAUAGGGUAUGCGGAGGGAACGCGGGGAAGUGAAACAUCUCAGUACCCGCAGGAGGAGAAAGCAACCGCGAUUCCGUUAGUAGUGGCGAGCGAAAGCGGAAGAGGCUAAAACCGAGCGCGUGUGAUAGCCGGGCAGGCGUUGCGCGUUCGGGGUCGUGGGACCAUCUCAUCAGGACUGCCGUCUUGAUAAGGAGUCAAAAAUUCGCGUCAUAGUCGAAGGACCUGGAAAGGUCUGGCACAGUGGGUGACACCCCCCGUAGACGAAAUGGCGCGAACUCCUAGAUGUGUUCCCAAGUAGCACGGGGCCCGAGAAAUCCCGUGCGAAUCUGGGGGGACCACCCCCUAACGCCUAAAUACUCCCUGGUGACCGAUAGCGGACAAGUACCGUGAGGGAA